GCAGGCGAGUUUUGACAGCCCGAGAUUCAUUAGAUUGAUUCACGCGUGAUGUCUUUUCUGUCGUUCUACCUAUUUGUGUUUACUAGUGCUCUUAUCAAGCUAAGUUAAAGAACAUAAUCACGUCACUGCAAACGGGGUGAACAUUACAACUUUCCUCCCAGUACCACCAUCUGCGUCGUUCUACACUUCAGGAGGCUAUCAUGACCCGCCGGAUGAUCCGAACACAGGACUACCCCGUGGACUUUUCUUGUACGGAGCCGGAGAUAAGCGCAUUGUCGUAGCAUUCUACACUGUUUACGAUCUUACACGGACCAUCAUUCGCCUAAUGGACAUGUUUUGGGAGUUGUUGCUGUCUGCCUGGCGUUUUAUCUCCCGUUGUACUGUCAUACUUUUCUCCUUGACUCUACCAAGUUUCCCUUGCCACAAUGCUAAACUUGAAGCACAAGAAGGGCCGCUCGUGAUCGAUGUAACGUUACUUCCAACCAGGAGACGGGCGUUUCAAAUCAAGGCUACUGAACUAGACUCAGUCGACAAAAUUUAUGAAAAAAAUAUCGGAUGUCACAGGAAUGUCGAAGACUUCGCUCAAAAUAUUCACGGCCGGCAAAAAAAGGUUCGUCAUCACCGUCAGGGAGGAGCUAGGAGUAGGACCACAGUGACCAGACCAGCAUCCAAGUUUCAGAACAACUGGUGAUUCGACUCUUCAUGGCGAGGAGACAUGUGACUGCGGAGGCGCUUGCAGCUGUCACACUUUCACAUCAAACAAAGAGGAGAACUGUGAUCUUCCAGUGGGUCGCAUCAAAGAUGCCAUUCGAUCAAAACGUGCGAUCGCUGACGAUGUUCCGUCUUGAGUGCCGUUCAAAAGGAAUUGGAACCUUUUGCAUGGACCGACACCCCGCGCAGCAAGAUUCUCCAACACGUCACCUGUACGCUUUCAAUCCUCCCCACUGCGACCGAUGCCCUGUUCUCGAGCACUGUCUAAACCGUCCACAUUGCAACCUUAUAUUACGACAAGUACAUAUGAUUGCGGUUUGACUACAUUUGUCCACGAACAAUACAUUCAAUGGCUUAUUAAUAUUG